AUAGUGGCAUGCCAACAUCAGAUAGUCGAGGUCCACCGCCAACAGACCCAUAUGGCCGACCUCCACCAUAUGAUAGGGGUGACUAUGGUCCCCCUGGGAGGGAAAUGGAUACUGCAAGAACACCUCUGAGUGAAGCUGAGUUUGAAGAAAUCAUGAAUAGAAAUCGGGCAAUCUCUAGCAGUGCUAUUUCAAGAGCUGUAUCUGAUGCUAGUGCUGGUGAUUAUGGGAGUGCUAUUGAAACAUUGGUAACAGCAAUUUCUCUAAUUAAACAAUCCAAAGUAUCUGCCGACGAUCGCUGCAAAGUUCUUAUUAGCUCUUUGCAAGACUGCCUUCAUGGAAUUGAGUCCAAGUCCUAUGGGUCUGGAUCAAGACGUGAACGAUCAAGAGAAAGGGACCAUAGUAGAUCACGGGAAAAGAGUCGACGUCAUAAAUCUCGGAGUAGAGAUCGCCAUGAUGAUUAUUACAGAGAGAGAAGCAGAGAGCGAGAGAGACACCGGGAUCGCGAUCGGGAUCGUGACCGGGAGCGCGACCGAGAGCGAGAAUACCGUCAUCGUUAGAAGCUGAAGGAAGAGGAACACCUUCCAAGACAAAGCAGUCUUCACGGGGAAAGUGACGCUUGUCCAGCAGUUUGCUUCUUGAUUGAACUGAACCUGUAAGGAUUCAUGGAUAAACUGAACAGGAAUAGAUCUGAAUAAAGCAAAUCUGCAUAAAUGGUAACCAGUAGCUCUACUUUUAUUUUUUAUGUUGCUUAACUGUUUUAUUUGAAGGAAACUGUGUGAUUUAAAAAGUUAAUAGCUUUUGCAACUUUAUUACUGGUUAUAUAUUUGGCCAUUAUAAUGUGCAAGCAAUUGGAAAAAGUCAAGUAAAUGCUUGUUUUUAUAGUAGUUUGUUCUUGUUAAAAUGUUCAUAUGAUAAUGUCUGUAAACAGCACCAAUUUGAUUACAAUAGAUGUAGUGUUGUAAUAAACUGUUUAAUGGGGCUGAUGUGUAAAGCUGUUCAAGUUAUUUGAUGUUUACACCUCAGGGAA
rnacentral:lncRNA from 1 species